NNNNNNNNNNNNNNNNNNNNNNNNNNNNNNNNGGCCCAGAGCCCGAGCUCGGGGACGGGCCCCGCGGGCCACCCUCUGCCCCCAGCGCGCACAGCCCCCCGCACGGCAGCGCCCCGGGCCUGGCCCCCAGCGGCGCUUCUGGAACGUUCUCUCCCGCGGCCCCGUGCAGGCCUGGCUCCCACGGCAUCCCCUUAGAGCGGCUCUGACACCGCCUGAGCUGCUGCCUCCACCCCCGCCAGUCCAGGACGCCACGCCAGGCCUUGAGAACUGACCGCACUGCCCACGUGGGGCCCCACUGCCCUCCCUCCUUCGACAGAACAUCAGAGACGCGACAAGUUGUCAAUGCCCCAGACCUCAGGACCCCAGCAGAGCCCUACUGCGGAUGCUCUGGGCACCUUCCGAAUACUCGAGGGCUCCUCCAGAAGGACCCUGGGGCAUAAACCCCGCCAGGCCGUUAGCAGACGUGCGGCUCCGUAAGGGGUCUGCAGGAAUGCCUUUCGCUCGCAGUUGCUCACACUUCCCUGACCCAGCUUGGAAGGGUGCGAGGCUGAACUUCACAUACGUGGCUUCUUUAAGAGGCCGGUCCUCAAUCAGCAUGGACCCCUGGAGGAUGUCCCAGGGUCAGACUCCCUCUGUCUCAGCUCCGUUCUCACCGUGGGGAGUUCCAGCCUGUUCUAAUGAUCCUCCGGUUCCCUCCUGA
rnacentral:lncRNA from 1 species